rnacentral:rRNA from 1 species
UACGUAGGGGGCGAGCGUUUGUCCGGAGUUACUGGGCGUAAAGCGCACGCAGGCGGUCUGCUAAGUUUGGAGUGACAGUUGGUGGCUUACUGCCAAAGUGCUUCGAAACUGACAGACUUGAGGGCUUCAGAGGGACACGGAAUUCCGGGUGGAGUGGUGGAAAUGCGUAGAGAUCCGGAGGAACACCAAAGGCGAAGGCAGUGUCCUGGGGAGUACCUGACGCUCAGGUGCGAAGCCAGGGAGCG